UGGCUGUGUCUGGUCUGGGCUAUUCAACUAUAUUUUUCCGGGGGCCAAAUUUGUCAGAAUACUAUGAUCUGUGGGCCGGACAUUCUCGUGACCUGUACUAUUACUCUCGGAUGUACAAUUGAGA